ACCUGGCCUGGUGGAGAGGUACUUCUUGUUACUGGAGCGACAAUGCCCCUCAAGGGACCAUGCUCUGAGGAAUAAAUAACCAAGUGGCAGUGUGGCUUUGGAGUCAGGUAUUUCUGAUCUUUCUGAAUUUCUUUAUCUGAGUAUAAGCAGUGAUAUGAUUAACUUGCAGGUUGUGUGGCUUGCUUCUGUGGAGCUGUACUGGCUCAAAAUGACAGCAUUGUCAAAGGGAUGAUGGGACAAGGCCUGGGAAGCUCUUGAUACUUAAGGCCAAGAUGCCUAAUUGGAGAGAUGUUCUUGUUUGUACAUAGACAGUUUUGGUAGUAUAAAAAGUCACCGUGUAGAUAAGUUCAACCUCUGUCUCCUUAGGGUGGACAUUUCUUAUGCUGUGGACAGCGUCUGUCAUGUGGUUGUGGUGGUCUUACUCAUGCAGAGGAGAUAGUCACCUCCUACACUGUGACAUUUAAACUAGGUGUCACUAAAGCACUAGCUGUGGGUUCCAGUACUUGAUGAGUCAUGAAAUACUUCUUCCUGCUAAAUUUUACACACUGACCUUUCUGGUUUCAGCUUCUCACCCAUCUUCCUUUUCACUCGUGACAGCCACAUGGUCACUAGGUUCUUCCUGUCUUGUUCUGAUUUAACCAGUUUAUGCACAAGUGCACACGUGCCUGUGUGUUUAUAAGUUAUUUUCAGAAGUUUGUGGAGAUCAGGAAUCCAGACAUUCCUUUCUGUCUUCCACAGGGUGUGGUGUCACAUUUCAGUUCCCGAGGAAAAUCAGUCUGCAGAGUUGAUGAGAGGGUGCCAGGUUUCAAAUGCUUAUUCACCUUCUACCUUUUCGUCUGGCAGCUUUGCUUUAUCUAGCUGUAAAUUAGGAGAGGCUGGUGGGGCUGAAAGGAACUUGAAGGAAGUCUUCAGAAGCCAUCUGCUCAUUUUAUCCCUGUAGGCAUUGAAACCUGAGUAGUUAAAUCAACUUUCCAAAGUCCUGGAAGGGUCAGAUAAAGUUUGGUUUUCUGACUUAAGUUUCUCUGCCUUUUCCCCCUGAAGGCCCACCACGGGGACUUUUACUUAGGUAUAAAGCAGUAGGUACAGGCCUUGCUAAGACAGAAGUUGUGCGUGUUCAGUGCUGGGAUCAUAGAGGCAGCUACCUGAGGUCGUUUGGCCUGAUUGGGAGUCCAGUGAUUGUCCUGGUGGUUGUCCUCUGUUGUGAGCUUCUAGAUAACAGAGGUCAGACAGGGUUCUUACCUGAAUGCCUGAAACAGAAAUUCUUGUUAAAUUUCUGUAAAAGGCAGCUGUAGUAGUGUGCUGUUUACUAUGUAACAUUCUAAUAGUUGUUAGCACUGUCAUCUGAGAUAAAAGAAUACUAUUAUAUGUACAGUUUUAUCUCUUUCUCUUUCCCUUCCCCUCUGGAUUGAAACCGGGGACUCUAAUUUCUAGACAAACAUUCUACCUCUAAGCUGCUAAUACCCCCAUCCUUAUAUACCAUUUUAUAAUAACACAACAAACUGCUAUAUUAGACCCAAAUCAGUUGCAGCUCAACAGUCCUGUUUGUAGAUGGUGUUUUCCUGUGAUCUUCUUGUUUUCGUUAGGAUUUCCAUGGCUGUGGUAAAACAGCAUGUCCAAGGCAAUUUAUAAAAGAUCAACACGUCAGCAUCUCAACAGGUUAGAGUCCAUGAUGGCAGAGCAAAGCCUUGGUGACAGGAACAGCUGAGAGCUCAGACCUCAACACAAGCAGGCGGCAAAGCACACAUUUGGAAUAGCAUUGAGCCUUUUGAAACGUCAAAGCCCCACUCUCAGUGACACCUCUUGUAACAAGGCCACCCAGAGAGUUCCACCAACUGGCAACCAAGUAUUCAAACGUAUGAACCUGUGGGGGCCAUUUUCUUUCAAGUGCUCCCCGCUCCCUUGGAGUUUUAGUUACAUGGUAUCUGUAACUUAGGUUAAAGUAAGCAAAGGUGCAACUUUUGAGCCCUUUUUUGUUUCCAGUCUGUGAUUCUUGAUGGUUCCCAGGAGAAUCCUCACCCAUGUCUCUGGUCUAAUACUCUAGACCAUACGGUGCCUCUCAGCACUGCUCUAUGGAGGACUCUCUGGCCUCCCAGGUUGAGCGCAGCCUCUGUCAGCAUUGUCUGUACAAUGUGGCAGAUUUAUGGUGGAGGCUGCUUAUCCUUUUGGGGAUGAUCAAGGUGUUUUUUCAUCUCUUCGAUUACCGUGAAGAUAAAAAAUAUUUCAGUGCUGUGGUUCUGAGCAGGUGGAGAUGGAGAGAGAGGGUGAGGAAGAGAAACUGAGGCUUCUUUUCACUAUAAUGAUUCUUGAGCUGUCAUUGGCCCCCUCCCUCCCUUCCUCCCUCUUCUGUCUGUCCCUCUCUAGUAAGGUUCUCUAUGGCUGAACUGAAUUGCUUUUCAACAAAAUUGUUGGUGGUAGAAAUUGGCCUAUUAAUCUUCCUGGUAUGGUCACAUAAUGUUCUUCCUUGUGAGGCAGGGUCUCCUGUCGCUCAGAAGGUUGGCCUUGAACUCAUCAUGUCACUAAGGAUGACCUUGCCCUCCUGAUCCUUUCUGCCUCUGGAGUGUUGGGAUCACACACUGGAGGUGCCUAGCUCCAAGGCAGACACAGUGUGACCAUUAACUCUUGAUGGUCAAAAACUGUUUUUGUGUAUGAUUUUAAAUUUAUCUCCAUCAAGUCACAGGAAGUCUAAUCACUGACCUUUGAUCCAAAAUGUUUUCUUUUGAUCAUAGGUGAAAAUAGUGUUUCUGGUUUAAUUAGUAAAGACCAGAUGGACAACUGAAAUGAGGGUGUAUUUCUACACCAUAAAUACAAAGAGGCCUAAAAAAGCAACAAUGCAUUUUACUUAAAAUGGAUAGUUUUAGAAAAGUUUUUCAUAUCUAAUUCCUGAUUUUAAAUUGAGCUACCAUAAGAAUGUAUACUUUAAGGUCAAGUCCAUCACCUGUUCAUGCCAGAUAAUGGUUUUUAAGAAGCCUAGAAGGAGGGCUGGAGAUAUGGCUCAGCGGCUGAGAGCACUGACUGCUCUUCCAGACGUCCUGACUUCAAUUCCCAGAAACCACAUGGUGGCUCACAACCAUCUGUAGUGGGAUCCAGUGCCUUCUUUAUAUAUGAUCUUUAAAAAAGGAACGAAACCUAGAAGGAAUUUGUAAUAGCAGUCCUUUUAAGCACAACUGAUACAUCUGAGGAAAUAAACCAUCAGGCACACAGGCAUGCCUCCUGCUUUGCCUUCCAGUCUCUGCCCUACCAGGUCCUUAGUGAUAGCAAGCCUGGAGUUUUGAAUUACAGCCCUCCGCUUACCUGUGCUAGGCAAGGAUUGUAUCCACCUGCUUUAUUUCUCCUGCUUUGGCCAGGUGGUUGGGAACUAGAAAUGAUUGACAGCAGUCCCUAAAACAAGCACAAAGAGAACUGGCACUCUAGCCUCUCUCUCCUAAAAGGUACUGUGGAGAACUAGGGAGUCAGAUGGCAGGAAGAGCAGAGAAAAGUUAUAUUCUUGGUUUUUAUUUUUGUUGUUGUUGGUUUUUUUUGUUUGUUUUUUGGGUUUUUUUGCUUGUUUGUUUUUGUUUUUUUGAGACAGGGUUUCUGGAAAUCCACCUGCCUCUGCCUCCCAAGUGCUGGGAUUAAAGGCUUGCGCCACUACUGCCUGGCCGAAAAGUUACUUCUUGAAAGUUUCUCUUUCUAUAAUUGUUUUCUU
rnacentral:lncRNA from 1 species